AAGAGUUGCAAAACUCCCAAACCAUUGUGAACAUACCUUCAACGUUGCUUCGGCGGGUUGGCCCCGGUCUCCGGGGUCCCCGGCCCUACUCGGGCGCCCGCCGGAGGACCAACCAAAACUCUUAUUGUAUACCCCCUCGCGGGUUUUUUACUAUCUGAGCCAUCUCGGCGCCCCUUGCGGGCGUUUCGAAAAUGAAUCA
rnacentral:misc_RNA from 1 species